AACGAACGCUGGCGGCAUGCCUAACACAUGCAAGUCGAACGAACCCUUCGGGGUUAGUGGCGCACGGGUGCGUAACGCGUGGGAAUCUGCCCUUUGCUUCGGAAUAACAGUUAGAAAUGACUGCUAAUACCGGAUGAUGUCUUCGGACCAAAGAUUUAUCGGCAAGGGAUGAGCCCGCGUAGGAUUAGGUAGUUGGUGGGGUAAAGGCCUACCAAGCCGACGAUCCUUAGCUGGUCUGAGAGGAUGAUCAGCCACACUGGGACUGAGACACGGCCCAGACUCCUACGGGAGGCAGAAGUGGGGAAUAUUGGACAAUGGGCUCAAGCCUGAUCCAGCAAUGCCGCGUGAGUGAUGAAGGCCUUCGGGUCGUAAAGCUCUUUUACCAGGGAUGAUAAUGACAGUACCUGGAGAAUAAGCUCCGGCUAACUCCGUGCCAGCCGCCGCGGUAA
rnacentral:rRNA from 1 species